GACGAACCGUGCGAACGUUAUUCGGAAUCAUUGGGCUUAAAGCGCGUGUAGGCGGGUUCGUGCGUCUGUCGCUGAAAUCCCCCGGCUCAACCGGGGAAGUGGCGUGGAUACGACGAGUCUGGAGGGGCAUAGGGGGACCUGGAACUUCCGGUGGAGCGGUGAAAUGCGUUGAGAUCGGAAGGAACGCCCGUGGCGAAAGCGAGGUCCUGGAUGCCUACUGACGCUGAGACGCGAAAGCCAGGGGAGCGAACGGG
rnacentral:rRNA from 2 species